rfam:Ictidomys tridecemlineatus contig058264, whole genome shotgun sequence.
GGGGUUAUGGCUCAGUGGUAGAGCAUUUGCCUCACAUGCAUGGGACACUGGAUUUGAUCCUCAUAACCACA